GCUUGUCUCAAAGAUUAAGCCAUGCAUGUCUAAGUAUAAACAAAUCUAUACUGUGAAACUGCGAAUGGCUCAUUAUAUCAGUUAUAGUUUAUUUGAUGGUUCUUGCUACUUGGAUAACCGUAGUAAUUCUAGAGCUAAUACAUGCAUCAAUACCCAACUGUUCGCGGAAGGGUAGUAUUUAUUAGGUAUAGACCAACCCUCCUCGGAGGUGCUUUGGUGAUUCAUAAUAACUUUCGGAUCGAUCUUCGGAUCGAUGCAUCAUUCAAGUUUCUGCCCUAUCAGCUUUGGAUGGUAGGGUAUUGGCCUACCAUGGCUUUAACGGGUAACGGAGAAUUAGGGUUCGAUUCCGGAGAGGGAGCCUGAGAAAUGGCUACCACAUCCAAGGAAGGCAGCAGG
rnacentral:rRNA from 1 species